GAUUAUUUUUGUAAACACGAGGACGCAGCGUGUGGCUCUGUUUCAGCGUCGCCGUUUCUUCGGGUUCUGAAGAGUUUUUUAGCUGAAAGACAAAAGGAAAUGACAGAACAGGACCAGCUCAACAAGGGAACUGUCCAGGAGUCCAUGUAGACAUGGCCGAGGAACCGGGAUGCAAUGAGGGCAAAGACAAGAGAGAGAGCUGGAGUAGUUACCACUUUGAGGUGCAACAACCAUAUGGUCCCUGCCUCGAGAAACCAGCUCCCCUACAUACAUCAACCCCAGAUGGCAUAGAUGAGGAUUUGCUCGUCAAGCCCUGCAGAAAAGAAAAGCCCCCCCAUAUUAUGUGCCUUCACAGUCAUGGGUGUUCUGGUCGUGUUGUGAUGUUGGAGGAGUGAAGCUGAGGACACUUUGGUUCUAAAAUCACAGAGUUUUCAGACACAUGCUGAAGACAAAUCGAUUACAGAUGCGGAAAAGUUGGGAGCAUUUUGGAGAUCGCAGAGUUCAGGGUGUUCACAUCACAGCACGGCGGGCCUUAGCUGGCAACAGAUAAGACUACAACAUCUUUCCCAACAGUCAUAAACCUGGGCAGUGCUGUUGGUGCAUUGGUGCCUCGAUGUCGCCAUGGUGGCAGUAAAGUGGCGGCCGUGUUGCUGACAGGCCCGUAUUUCCCUCAGUUGUGUGGCCGGUUUGGACCCGGCCGCCAUAAAGGGGAGUUGGAAGUCAACCUUUGGUCAGCACUGCUGGAGAACACGCCCUGCCUGCACACACAAACACAUGAGAGUUUACAAAUCUGGAAGUAUGACAGUGAACGCCACAGCUUAAAUCAAUACAGGCCAGUGUGUGUGUGUGUGUGUGUGUGUGUGUGGGGUGUGUGUGUGUGGGUGUGUGUGUGUACAUCAAUGAUAAUUAGAGAUGCAAAACCUCCUCUGUAGCAUUGGUGGUGCAAUGCAUGAAUUUUAUGUUAGA